rnacentral:rRNA from 1 species
CAAUAGCGUAUAUUAAAGUUGUUGCAGUUAAAAAGCUCGUAGUUGGACUUCAGGCCUGGUUGGGCGGUCCGCCUCACGGUGUGUACUGUCUGACUGGGUCUUACCUCUUGGUGAACCGGCGUGUCCUUUACUGGAUGCGUCGGGGAACCAGGACUUUUACCUUGAGAAAAUUAGAGUGUUCAAAGCAGGCCUAUGCCUGAAUACAUUAGCAUGGAAUAAUAAAAUAGGACGUGCGGUUCUAUUUUGUUGGUUUCUAGAGUCGCCGUAAUGAUUAAUAGGGAUAGUUGGGGGCAUUGGUAUUGAGUCGCUAGAGGUGAAAUUCUUGGAUUGACUCAAGACCGACUAUUGCGAAAGCAUUUGCCAAGGAUGUUUUCAUUA